rnacentral:lncRNA from 1 species
CUCUUUCCUUGCCUUCUUGCUGUCAGUCAAUCUUUUGCUCACUCACUGAUCUUUUACACUUAAUUGUGACAAGUACUUCAACAUCAUCAUUAUUGUUUUGUCCCCUGGGAUAUGGGCCCAGAUACGAAUUCAAAGUACAACACAUUGUUCGAAAUGGCGAGUUCCACCUCCAAAGAUGUCAGCCAUAUUAUUAAAUUUUAUGGAACCAACUUUUCUUCCUGGAAGUUUGGCAUUUGGAGGUUCCUAGAGAAGUUUAAGCUCACGUCAGUCGUAGACGGGACUGAAUCAUUUCCUGCUCAGACCUUGCAAGAAGGAAUAGUCACUAAUGCAGCACUCAUUGAAGCCUGGCAACAGAAAGACGUUGAUGCUCGUACCUACAUCUACUCCAUAAAUCCAUCCGUCCUUCCACGAGAAAUCUGCCAAUCGAUGGCGCGGUAAAAAUUCUGUUUUUUCUGUUUUUUGGGGUUGGGUAAAGAUAGGCAAAAAAAGACAGUUUUUGUGUUAUUGCCGCUUUAUUUCAUCCCCCGAAUCAAUUUAGCUCCCCUUCGGUUGGGAGGGGAGUUUUACGGACUUGUAGUAAAAUUGGCCUUGAAGGAACAGCCACAUUUUUGUAGUCUUUGUUUUUCCAACUCCCCUUCAAAAAUGGCUUGAAAGUAUACCCUCUUUUGGUUUGUUUUCAUUAAAUAACGAAAUUUUAAUGAGCAAAAAAAAAAAUACUAAACAUAACAUGUCGACGUAAAAUUCAAUUUUACAUCCAAUGGCUUAGGUCCCAUUAAAAUCGAACCAGAAAAAACGACACAAUAAAAAAAAUCUCUAUCUCACGGCAAAAUUACAAAAUUUGAUUUUAACAUUUAAAUAUCUCCUAAACUAAUAAAGCUACAAUUCCGAAACUUUCACGGCCGUUUUUUUUUUGCCUUUCUCCACCCAACCCAAAAAACAAAAAAAAUCGGAAUUUUUACCGCGCCAUCGAUUGGCAGAUUUCUCGUGGAAGGACCCUUUACGAUCUAUGAGGAAAGUGUGUAAAUCACUAAGUAUCCCGUACAGCACGGUUCGAUACACCAUCAUGCGAUUUAAGGAAACAAAGUCUAAUAUGGACAGACCUGACCGUGGCCGUUUUUAAGUCCUUUCUUCUUCAGACAAGCGAUCAAUUAAAAUCAUAAGUAAGAGGGAUCGAACCAAAACUAUGCCUGUCAUAACUGAAGAGUUCAACUGCAGCAGGGGAAAAAUUUGUUCACAAACUAGUAUUCGUCGUUGUCUACUGAGUUGGGGUCUUAAAGGUCGGGAUGCGGCAAAGAAGCCUUUAUUGCCAAAGCAAAAUGUUGUAAAACGGUUGGCCUUUGCUAAAGAGCACGUUAAUUGGACAAACGAUCAGUGGUCUAAAGUUUUUUUUUCAGACAAAAGUAAAUUCGAAGUUUUCGGCAACAGACGCCGUUUAUUAGUCCGAGGAUUUGAAGGCGAAAGGUUUAAAAAGCAUUGUUUACAACCUACGGUAAAGCAUGGCGGAGGUAAUGUAAUGGUAUGGGGAGCAAUUUCCGCCAAUGGUGCAAUUCCUCUAAAACUAAUUCAGGGUAUUAUGGACAUGAAGGUAACUUAAGUGGUAUCCACAGCCGUCAUUCAUUCCCACAAUAAUUAAAUUAACUUUAGUUUUAUCAUCAAGUCUUGAUUCGUAACGACCUCCCUGGUGAAAAGCGGAUUAUAGCAAGAGUGUUUGUCUUCCCAGAAGAUAAUGACCCAAAAAAUGCAUCUAAACUUUGUCGUGGAGAUCUAAAUAGAAAAGAACAGGCUGGUGAAGUUAUGCGUAUGGUGUGGCCACCUCAGAGCCCGGACCUCAACCCUAUAGAACAAAUUUGGGAUCAUCUUGACAGUAAAAUCCGAAAAAUGUGUAAAUACUCAAAGAAUGCGCUCUGGAAAAAUUUGCAGCAGACUUGGGUGGAAAUCUCAAACAAAACUUUCUCGAAAUACAUUUUUUAAUGAGAUCCCGCUGUGAAGCAGUUAUCAAAGCAAAAGGCGGUCAUACGCGGUUCUAACAUACACAUUUGUUCUGUGAUCUCUGUAUCUCAAAGCCGCAUAGCCUCCCACAUUGUGUGCUGUAAAUCAAAGAAUUAUGGUACAAUAAUUAGCAUACUAACUGAAACCUGUUAUGUUAACGCUUUAGGUAAUUGAUUGAAAUACUUUAGAGAUAAACAAACAGUAUGAAAACUGUAUUUCCCUCCCCACUUUCAGAACACAUUAUUUUUUGGCAUCUACGGGGGUAUCAGAUGUCACAGAGUUUGGUUUUACAAGACUCUCCUGCUUAUUGUAAGGAAUGCAUCAGCUCACUCUUUCUUGGAAAAAUAUCCUCCCUCUCAUUCCUGGAAACAAGUAAUUUUCCUUUCCAUCCUUUCAUUACGCUCACCUUGCGUUGGUGAUCGCGUUGACUUUGUUUGUCGUAUAAAACCCCAUCAAUUGUAAUUCUUCGUUAAUCAACGCUGGCCUGUUCACCCAGUCUAGUGUUGAUUCACCCCUUCGCGAGUCAAGUGUCAGGUCGUUUAUUCGACCUGCUACUGGCUUGCUCGUUCCCCGUUUAAACUUGUCUUAUUUGUGUCUUUGU